GACGAGGAGGAGCUUCUUGAAGUUUCCGGUGAGGUGAGCCUUAUGCUUGUCUUCAAUAAACUUGGAGAUGGCAUACUGGCUCGAUCCACCACGCUCCUUCAGUGUGGAAAUCGCCUCGCUGAUCAUCUCGAUGUAGGGAGGAUGGGCUGCAGGCUUCUUUGGAGCGGAGGCCUUCUUUGGCGCCUUAGGCUUGGCAACCUUGGCAGGGAUUGGGGCUGGGGCUAGCUCGGCAGCUGACAUUUCUGCAGAGGAUUGAAAUUAAGAGGAUAUGAGAG
rnacentral:misc_RNA from 1 species